rnacentral:rRNA from 1 species
UGGAUAACUUCGGGAAACCGGAGCUAAUACUGGAUAAUAUUUUGAACCGCAUGGUUCAAAAGUGAAAGACGGUCUUGCUGUCACUUAUAGAUGGAUCCGCGCUGCAUUAGCUAGUUGGUAAGGUAACGGCUUACCAAGGCAACGAUGCAUAGCCGACCUGAGAGGGUGAUCGGCCACACUGGAACUGAGACACGGUCCAG